GUUGGGGUUGGGGUCAGGGUUGGGGGUCAGGGAUGGGGAUGGGGUUGGGGGUGAGGGAUGGAGUUGGGGUCAGGGUUGGGGGUCAGGGAUGGGGAUGGGGUUGGGGUCAGGGUUGGGGUUGGGGUCAGGGAUGGGGUUGGGUUGGGGUUGGGGUUGGGGUUGGGAUUAGGCUCAGGUUUGGGGUUGGGAUUAGGCUCAGGGUUGGGGUUGAAUUGGGGUUGGGGUUGGGAUUAGGCUCAGGGUUGGGGUUGAAUUGGGGUUGGGGUUGGGAUUAGGCUCAGGGUUGGGGUUGAGUUGGGGUUGGGGUUGGGUUGGGGCUCAGGGUUGGGGUUGGGGUUGGGGUUGGGAUUAGGCUCAGGGUUGGGGUUGAGUUGGGGUUGGGGUUGGGAUUAGGCUCAGGAUUGGGGUUGGGGUUGGGGUUAGGAUUAGGCUCAGGGUUGGGGUUGGGGUUGGGGUUGGGGUUCAGAUUAGGCUCAGAGUUGAGGUUGAGUUGGGGUUGGGGUUGGGAUUAGGCUCAGGAUUGGGGUUGGGGUUGGGAUUAGGCUCAGGAUUGGGGUUGAGUUGGGGUUGAGGUUGGGAUUAGGCUCAGGGUUGGGGUUGAAUUGGGGUUGGGGUUGGG
ensembl:lncRNA